AAAAUAUCAUUUGAUGCUGCCCAAAAAUUUAAGUACUAUGUACUAAUUGACGUAAUUACUGCGUGAAGCAAAAAGUCAGUCUUAUCAAACCUGUAAAACCACAUAUGCAAGGUACUCUCCAAGCAGAAGAAGUGUUGCCCUCCUGAUGACCAGUAUAUCUAAUUGCGAGUUGACCUAAUUAAUGCCUCGAACACUAGGCAGUCUAUGAUAUGCACAAGGCAGAUGUUAGAAAAGUUAAAGGAGAACCGUAUAAAACCAUUCGUCAUAAUUGAAUUGCUAAUAGCAUCUUCGUCGGUAAAAGGUGUCUACACGUAUACCUGCAUCUACUGUACAGUUCUAAAGUAGUUUAUCAGCAGAUGGGCUCGGUCUAUAACAUGUAAUCAGGCAUUACACGCCGGCCACAGAACAAGAAAAACAAGGUCGGAGGUUCUCCUGAUUUACAUAAGAACAAAACACAGUGACGAUAGGAAAUCAUCCAAUCACUCGGUAAAACAGACAACUUGAGCCACGUAGACUAUCUGGUUAACCGGGGAUUUAAGUCUCUUGAAGAUGACAGCAUUUUUCACUCUUUUCGCCGAUCGCCUUCUUGUUGAACAGGAGACAACAUAACAUCUGCACAGCAGGGUACAUCAAAUAAUGCAACUGCUCAAGAUCCAAGGAGUAGCGAGAUUGUAGCUUUCUGAUAGAGGUCAUCAGCUACCGAGGUUAAAGCUUUCCGAGAUUAUCAGUAAGAUUACGUAAAAAGAACAUCAUCGAGGUUGCAGCUUCCUGAAAGAGUGCAUGCCCAUCAUCAAGCUACCAACUUCUUAAGAAAUGGCGUUAGCGAGGUUGCAGCUAGCUGAGAAAGUGCACCACGAGGUUUCAGAUUCAUGAUCAGACUGCAUCAGCGAGGUUACAGCUUCAAGAGAGAGUGCAUCAGCGAGGUUACAGCUUCAAGAGAGAGUGCAUCAAGCGAGGUUGCAGUUUCAAGAGAGAGUGCAUCAAGCGAGGUUGCAGCUUUAAGAGAGAGUGUGCCAGCGAGGUUGCGGCUUCAUGAAAAAAUGCACCAGCUAGGUUUCAGCUUCAUGAAAGAGUGCAGUAGCAAGGUUGCAGCUUCGUAAGAGAGACAGCAACAGCGAUGUUGCAGCUUCCUCAGAGAGAGUACCAUCGAGGUUGCAGAUAUCGCUGCGAAAUUAUUGCUCCCUGAGCGAGGGUAUCAGUGAGAAUUCAGCAUACCCAAAUAGGGAAAUCAUCUGAAAGUACCAAAUUCCUUCCAUUUGGCAGGCGUGGUCUUGGUGAUGGUGGGAAUAGUGUUCGUUAGCGCGAAAACAUGGCGGAAGGAACGUCAGAAGGAACGGAGAGUUGAACUUCUCCAAACACUCCAGUUUGACCCUGAUUAAAGACAUUACGGACAUUAACUAUAAAGAACAAAAAAGAAUUGUGUUCCAAGGUUUUUUCUUUUCUAAAUAUCGUAAGAAAAUCAUCAGGAGGAUCUGACAAAUUAUAAAAAUAAUAUAAAGGCUUAAUACUAGCAAAACAUGGUUCAAGCAUUUCUUUAUGUGAACACGAAUUUCAUAUGCGAACCGGAAAAGCUUCAACUUGACAUGUCAGACACUUUUUUAUA